CCUACGGGCGGCUGCAGUGGGGAAUAUUGGACAAUGGGCGAAAGCCUGAUCCAGCCAUGCCGCGUGUGUGAAGAAGGCCUUCGGGUUGUAAAGCACCUUCAGUGGGGAAGAAAGCCUUGGGGCUAAUACCCUCGAGGAAGGACAUCACCCACAGAAGAAGCACCGGCUAACUCCGUGCCAGCAGCCGCGGUAAUACGGAGGGUGCGAGCGUUAAUCGGAAUUACUGGGCGUAAAGCGCGCGUAGGCGGUCUGAUAAGCCGGUUGUGAAAGCCCCGGGCUCAACCUGGGAACGGCAUCCGGAACUGUCAGGCUAGAGUGCAGGAGAGGAAGGUAGAAUUCCCGGUGUAGCGGUGAAAUGCGUAGAGAUCGGGAGGAAUACCAGUGGCGAAGGCGGCCUUCUGGACUGACACUGACGCUGAGGUGCGAAAGCGUGGGUAGCAAACAGGAUUAGAUACCCGGGAGUC
rnacentral:rRNA from 1 species